ACUUGCGCACACGAUAAACUCCUUGGUCCGUGUUUCAAGACGGGUCGGAUAGAUGACCGGCUUUACAUGGGAACGAGUACGAGAGCAUUAACUGGACCGAACUAAUUGAAAAGCACGUGUCGCAUGCGACCGUAACUUACACUCAGAUCUGUCCAAUAAAUACACGUGAGCCAUACUCAAAUGCCCAAGACAAAAAAUGCUAACACCGUUUGGGUACCAGCAAGCUGGCCUCAAAACGACGGAAACAAAUCUGCCUCAAACAUCCCCAAGCACCAAUCAAGUAAAUGCACCACAAAAAAUUAUGCUGAUUCCCUCUGUCCCAAUCUGGAGCUCAGAGGUCACAACAUAAAAAUAAUGUAACUGAAUAAUUGAAUGAUACGCCGACUCUAUCCGUUUCCACCUUACCGGUUUCACGUCCUCUUUAACUCUCUCUUCAAAGUGCUUUGCAACUUUCCUUCACAGUACUUGUUUGCUAUCGGUCUCGUGGCAAUAUUAAGUCUUAGAUGAAGUUUACCACCGACUUUGGGCUGCGAUCCCAAACAACCCGACUCUAAAGCACGCAAAUAUCGAUCAAUUAUCUCAACGUACAGGACUUGCACCUUCUGUGGAACCUCUAUCAAGGGGACUUGUUUGAGACAAAAGAUCAAAGUUUACGACUUAUACGCUACACCUCAUAAUGCCUGAGGCAAAACGAUUUAGCGAUGGACUUUUCCCUUUUCACUCGCCGUUACUGGGGAAUCCUAUUUAGUUUCUUUUCCUCCGCUUACUGAUAUGCUUAAGUUCAGCGGGUGCUCUCGACUGAGUUCAGGUCAAAAUUGUUUGAUUUUCACAGUUAGAUUUAAUACAUGAAUAAACAAAAAUCCUUUUAAAAUAUAAAGCAACAACAUCAUUAUAGAAAUUAAAGCUUCCGCUAUAAGAGAAAAUGACCCUGAACCAGACGUUGCAAAGAGUUUGACCUCAAUGCGGCCAUUUGCGUUCAAAACUUUUGUGCUCAAUACUUCUGCAGUUCGCAAUAAUUAUCGCAGUUUGCUGCGUUCUUCAUCGAUCCACGAGCCUAGUGAUCCACCGAUAAGGGUAGAAUUUUAGUUUUUUUUUUAAAAUGUAGAGAAAAAAAAGGUUGCUGGCGGCCUCACUUAAGAGGCUUUUGAUUGCCUGGGGGAACCCUAUUGCCUGAACCCUACGACACUUGGUCAAUUGCACUUUGGUCUACUUUGCCUGAGGCAAUUUUUAAUCGGAUCGUCACAGACUCUAAACCAAAAAUGCCUGGUGAAAUUUGAUUGCCUGGGGAACCCUAUUGCCUGAACCCUACGACACUUGGUCAAUUGCACUUUGCAGAUCUUGGUGGUAGUAGCAAAUAUUCAAGUGAGAUCCUUGAAGACUGAAGUGGAGAAGGGUUCCACGUGAACAGCAGUUGAAUGUGGGUCAGUCGAUCCUAAGGCACCGGCUAAAGCCGUCUAGACACUGCGGGAGAUGAGAUACUUAACGGUAACUUGUCUACCUGGUUGCCGAAAGGGAAGUGGGUUAAUAUUCCCACACCAGGCAUGGGAGAUUGUGAUCCGCGAGGAUUACUUUGCGCGGUGACGCAAACGAACUCGCAGACCUCGUGUGGAGUCCGGGCCAGAGUUCUCUUUUCUGGUUUAGAGAUCAUGUCCCUGGAAGUGGCUCAGCCUGAGAUAGGGAUACUGGUCUUGUAAAGCGCAGCGGUUCCUGUUGUGUCCCGUGUGCUCCACAUGAGCCGUGAAAAUGCGAGGGAGGCAAUUUAAAAUCUCCUGCCUGAUCGUACCCAUAUCCGCAGCAGGUCUCCAAGGUGAACAGCCUCUAGUCGAUAGAAUAAUGUAGGUAAGGGAAGUCGGCAAAUUAGAUUCGUAACUUCGGGAAAAGAAUUGGCUCUAAAGGUUGGGUCAGUCGGGCUGUUGUGUGAAACUGGUGGACUUUGCUCGUGGCUGCUUGAGCUUCCUUACGGGCGGCGCUUGUGGACUAGUAGUGAGGACUGCUUGUGGAGUGCUUCAGCUGCGUGCUAUUUCGCAAGAUAUAGUACUUCGAUUGGCGCUGAACAACCAGUUUAGAACUGGCACGAACUCCGGGAAUCCGACUGUCUAAUUAAAACAGAGGAGACGGAUGGUCCUUGCAGGACGUUGACCGUGUCUGAUUUCUGCCAGUGCUCUGAAUGUUAAGCCAAGGAAACUUGAUUAAGCGCGGGUAAACGGCGGGAGUAACUAUGACUCUCUUAAGGUAGCCAAAUGCCUCGUCGGCUAACUACCGACGCGCACGAAUGGAUCAACGAGAUUCCCACUGUCCCUAUCUACUAUCUAGCGAAACCACAGCCAAGGGAACGGGCUUGGCAAAUUUAGCGGGGAAAGAAGACCCUGUUGAGCUUGACUCUAGUCUGACUUUGUGAAGAAUCAUGAGAGGUGUAGCAUAAGUGGGAGUCGCAAGACAACAGUGAAAUACCACUACUUUCAUCGAUUCCUUACUUAAUCGGUAAAACGGGAGUUGUGUCUAAGGACCUUCAUUUUUGUUUUAAGACUAGCCACUCGGUGGUUGGUUGACUCGCGCCGAUGACAUUGUCAGGCGGGGAGUUUGACUGGGGCGGUACAUCUGUCAAAUUGUAACGCAGGUGUCCUAAGGCGAGCUCAGAGAGGACGGAAACCUCUCGUUGAGCAAAAAGGCAAAUGCUUACUUGAUCUUGAUUUUCAGUACGAAUACAGACCGCGAAAGCGUGGCUUAUCGAUCCUUUUGAGUUUGUAAAGUUUACAGCAAGAGGUGUCAGAAAAGUUACCACAGGGAUAACUGGCUUGUGGCGGCCAAGCGUCCAUAGCGACGUCGCUUUUUGAUCCUUCGAUGUCGGCUCUUCCUAUCAUUGCGAAGCAGAAUUCGCCAAGCGUUGGAUUGUUCACCCACCAAUAGGGAACGUGAGCUGGGUUUAGACCGUCGUGAGACAGGUUAGUUUUACCCUACUAAAUACUUGUUGCUAUGAUGGUAAUCCUGCUUAGUACGAGAGGAACCGCAGGUUCAGACAUUUGGUUCAUGUGCUUGGUCGAUAGGCCAAUGGCGCGAAGCUACCAUCUGAGGGAUUAUGACUGAACGCCUCUAAGUCAGAAUCCCGCCCAGUCAUGAUAGCAAUAUAUAUCGCUCUCCGGUGUCGGAAGGCAAAAUGUAUGCCAUUUUUUGUGGUAGUACAAGCCCCAGUAUCUGCAUUUUCUUUCUACUAUAAUUGGUAGUUGGUUGCUAAAAGCUUAGCACUCCUCGUGCAUGUGUAACGUCGGGGCGCAAAUCACUUGUAUACGACUUGAAUACUGGUCAGGGGUUGUAAUCAGUAGAGCAGCUCUUCGCUGCGAUCUGUUGAGACUUAGCCCUUGAUCGGAUGAUUUGUCUUUUUUA
rnacentral:rRNA from 1 species